rnacentral:lncRNA from 10 species
UAAUGUAUUUGUAUUUAGUGGGUAGUGGCACAUGCAGAAGUGAAGAUAGGGGAUUGCCAAGUCAUUUUUUUUUUUUUGAGAUGGAAUCUCACUCUGUCGCCCAGGCUGGAGUGCAGUGGUGUGAUCUCCGUGCUCACUGCACCCUCUGCCUCCCAGGUUCAAGGGAUUCUCCUGCCUCAACCUCCUGAGUAGCUGGGAUUACAGGUGAGCGCCACCACACCUGGCUAAUUUUUGUAUUUUUAGUAGAGACAGGGUUUCACCAUGUUGGUCAGGCUGGUCUCGAACUCCUGACCCCGUGAUCCACCUGCCUCAGCCUCCCAAAGUGCUGGGGUUACAGGCAUGAGCCACCGCACCCGGCGAGUACCAACUCAUCUAAAUGGAAGUGUGCUCAGAUAGCAAGCAGGAGACAUGGACUUCUGUGGCUUCCCAUGAUAACUGGGUUAUGAGGACCAACUUUAAGCCUAUAUGUCAAUCAGUUUAUAUGAGGUUGGACUGAUUUCUACUGUGUGCAGCCUCUACAGGAGCAUUUAUACUGGUUUCCUUUUUUUUUUUCUUUCUACCUGUAGAUAUCUUUAAGAUAAACAAGCUGAACACCAUUAACUAUGGUAACCUCUGCCAUGCUGUCUCUGUUCCUUGAGAUCAGAUAGAGCCCGGACAGCAAAGAAGCACGUGGCCCUGAUAUUAAGAUACAAGCAUGCCAACAGCUUGCAUUAGUAUUUGUGGAAUGGAUGAGUGAGUCAUGAUAUAUUUCCCCAAGCUUCAGCUGGGUGUGUUUUUCAUGUAACCAUUACUCAUAAAGUGUAAAGGUCAAUUAUGUUAGGAAGGAAGGAAUGAUUUUUGUCAUCCAUGCAUAGGACACUCAGGUAUGCUUCCCUGAGCUUCAUGGAGCAUGGUUCCCUGAGCUCACUCCUGCAAAGGCCACGCCUAUUCAUGAAUGUUGACAUUAACCAGAAGGUAGGGACUGUAUAUGUGAAUUGAGCUUAAAUCUGAGCUGAGGAAUUCUAUGACAAGUAACUUCAAACACGUCACUGAGUUUGAGUUUACCAUAAUGCAUAAGACUAUUUCUAAAACUUGUAAUUGCUUCUGUUUAUUUACAGAGUUUGAUGCAUAUUUGAGCAUUUAUUUACUUAUUCAAAAUUCAAAAAGUUCCAAGAAGUAUAAAAAUGGCUGAACAGUGGCAAGAAUUUUAGAAACCAUAGAAAAAAACCCGACAUUAUUAGGGAACAAAACAAAUAGACUAGGAGAUAAAAAUGAAGUUUUGUGUUGCAGAAGCUGGCAGGGAUCCCCAGUGAGAGAAAAGAGGUAUCAGGAUGAGGAGAAUGAUAACCACAGCCUCAUCACAUAGGAGAGCGGCUGCUUCCGUCAACAGGGUGUGUGCUCACAGCUUCAGGUCUGCACCGCACAGCAUGAUGCUGAGACAGGAGGAAGCAGUGGCCAUGUUGUUGCCCAAAGCAGAUGUCAAAAGAGAAACUUAGAAGAGGCUUCUGAGACUAGCAACCCUCCCACUCAGGAUGGAACCAAAUUCAGGGAGCACGUCUCCCCACACAGCUGAAAUUAAUGCAGAGGUGAACGCCUUCUCCCUCGGAAGCAGAGCAAGAAUGAUUCUUGAUUACACUGAGCCUAUGGAACAGCCCCCACUGUUCAAGAGCCAAGAUUAGUGUGAAGCACCUCUCAAUCAUUUAAGAUUUGAUUGUUUAACAUGAGGCUGGGUGGGUUCGUCUCAGUGCUGAUGUCAACAAUCGACCCCAUCGUCCACAUGGCUCCCUGGGUUGCACCAUGAGCCAGCCACUGCUGCUUCUGGGUGCCAGGCUGUCCGGCAAAUCCUCUGACCCCCGUCUCUCCCUUCUAGAUUUUUCUGAGCUGCCACUUCCUCUCACCCUCCAGGCAGGCAGAGCCUGAAACCCCCUCUCUCAGAAAGGGUUGCAUCAAACUCAUUUGAUGCACACAAAUUCACCGAGGGAGAAUCCUUUGACAAGCAGGCUCUGGGGCCCUGGGGCUGGGGCUUGAGAGCCUGGGUCUCUAACACACCCAGCAGUUGCUGAUGGCGGGGCCAGAGCUGGAGUGGCCAAGGUUUUAGAGCAGUACUUAUGGUGGGUCUCUCUCUAGCUGGGCCAUCCUUGAGGCCAUCCUCUUCAUUUCAGAUCAGUUUGCCCCCUCCCCAUUUCUCAAAGCUGCUUACUGUUUGCUGGAAGGGAAGGCUGGACUCCUCCACCCCACCUUCCACCCCCACCUUCCUUUCCCCUCCGCCCCACACCCGUUUCUCUGCUCCCUAGUCUGUUUCCUGUACAACUUUAGGACAUGGCCUUCAUUCAUGUUACCUUUCUGUUGUUGUUUUUUUAUGAGCUUUAGUUAAGAUAACUAAUUGCUGCAGACAAAACCAGCUCAAAACAAUUUAAUCCACACUUUGAGAGAGGGAGAAAGAAAUGCACUCUGCAGAGGAAUCUGAAGAAUGUAGAGAACCAUCCAAUCAACGACUAUUCCAAGCAUUUCCCUGAGAAUGCAAACUUCCACCCACCUCAAGCCCUCCAGGAACUUGCCAUUUUCACCACAUCACUAUGCAGCGUCACACCAGGAAGUACCCAGAAAACUUCGCACGAUCCUCCGGAAGCCUCACCCCUUAUCGGUGACCACCCUUCUGCUAUAUCCAGUCUUUUUCUCAGCAUAAGUGUUUUACAUACUUGAUAUCAGAGUGUAAUUUAAAAUCUAUUUCUUGACUUUUUUACUUAAUAAGUUUUUAACUGUCACUAAAAAUUCCUGAAAAAAUGUUGUAUAACUCUUUCCGUU